UAGCUCAGAGGUUAGAGCAUCGCAUUUGUAAUGCGAUGGUCAUCGGUUCGACACUAUCGAAUGCGAUGGUCAUCGGUUCGACUCCGAU
rnacentral:tRNA from 1 species